AAAAAAUCAUGAAAUAUUUGGUCUAGUAAUAAAAAAAAUCACACAAAAAACAGUAGUUGUCGUUUGUUGAUGUCGUUCUCGCUUCUCGUUUUUUUAGCUCACCUGGCCCGAAGUGUCAAGUGAGCUUUUCUUAUAUCUUGGCGUCCGUCGUCCGUCGUCGUAACUUUUACAAAAAUCUUCUCCUCUGAAACUACUGAGCCAAAUUCAACCAAACUUAGCCACCAUCAUCAUUGGGAUAUCUAGUAUAACAAAUGUGUCCGGUGACCUUGCCAACUAACCAAGAUGGUCGCCAUGGAUAAAAAUAG
rnacentral:lncRNA from 1 species